rnacentral:rRNA from 1 species
CCAGUGGCGCAAGGGUGAGUAAGGCGACGGUAACCAACCCCGUGAUUGGGUAUAGCCGCGGGAAACUGCGGGUAAUCCCCAGCGACGUCCUGUUCCGGCAUCGGGACAGGACCAAAGCUCCGGCGUCGCGGGACGGGCCGUCGUGGUAUUAGGUGGUUGGCGGGGUAACGGCCCACCAAGCCUGGGAUGCCUACCGGGCGUGCGAGCGUGGCCCGGCACACUGGGACUGAGACACUGCCCAG